rnacentral:lncRNA from 1 species
UCCGCCAUUGUACGAGCGCAGCGCCGCGCCGCGCUGUUUGACUGAAGCGUCCCGACAUUUAACUUGCGAUAAACUGAUAGAGGCACGAGGUUCGCUUGGGAUCCGGUGUCAACCUUGAAUGUAAUGUUCCUCCCAUCUAUUGUGGCUUUC